GAUGAACGCUGGCGGCGUGCCUAAUACAUGCAAGUCGAGCGAAUGGAUUAAGAGCUUGCUCUUAUGAAGUUAGCGGCGGACGGGUGAGUAACACGUGAGUAACCUGCCCAUAAGACUGGGAUAACUCCGGGAAACCGGGGCUAAUACCGGAUAACAUUUUGAACCGCAUGGUUCGACAUUGAAAGGCGGCUUCGGCUGUCACUUAUGGAUGGACCCGCGUCGCAUUAGCUAGUUGGUGAGGUCACGGCUCACCAAGGCAACGAUGCGUAGCCGACCUGAGAGGGUGAUCGGCCACACUGGGACUGAGACACGGCCCAGACUCCUACGGGAGGCAGCAGUAGGGAAUCUUCCGCAAUGGACGAAAGUCUGACGGAGCAACGCCGCGUGAGUGAUGAAGGCUUUCGGGUCGUAAAACUCUGUUGUUAGGGAAGAACAAGUGCUAGUUGAAUAAGCUGGCACCUUGACGGUACCUAACCAGAAAGCCACGGCUAACUACGUGCCAGCCGCCGCCGUAA
rnacentral:rRNA from 1 species